UAGCUGGAGCAAUACAUCCCGGCCGUAACGCACGCAUCGUAAAAAAAGGAGGAACUUGAGCGAGCCAUCGUCCACACAUCACGCCGCCUUUCGCCUCCUGACCAAACUGCGGCAGAUGGAUAAGGAAGGAAGCCCGGAUGGCAAGGGAUCGAUGCGGCUGCGCUGCGGAGCUCGGCGGCGGACUCAUGCUACGUUCGUCUACGGAGGCGUGAGUGUUUCAGAUGUCAAACAGAUCAUGACGAGAGCAAGGCUCUGGAUGGCGAUCCCUCCCGUGAAUCUAGUUUCGAGAUGAACUGAGCAAUGACUAACAUUUGAGGCUACUAGAUAUGUUUGAAGUGGCAUGAUUUUUCAAGACCACACGGGAGACAGUUCAUCGUGCAGGUGCCUUCAACAUUGGUCGUCUGUCAUGGAGGCCGAAUUAUAUUCGAUGGAAGAAGGCAUGUCUCUAGUCACACAGUGGAGCCAACUCACAAUGCAUAUUGAGAGUGAUUGUUUUGAAGCGGUUAACAUAUUGAGAAAAGAAGGUAUGGACUGAAAUACAAGUUAUUUCUCGUAAUUUUUUUAGACAAGUUACGCAAAU